AUUGAACGCUGGCGGCAUGCCUUACACAUGCAAGUCGAACGGUAACAGGUUAAGCUGACGAGUGGCGAACGGGUGAGUAAUGUAUCGGAACGUGCCCAGUCGUGGGGGAUAACUGCUCGAAAGAGCAGCUAAUACCGCAUACGACCUGAGGGUGAAAGCGGGGGAUCGCAAGACCUCGCGCGAUUGGAGCGGCCGAUAUCAGAUUAGGUAGUUGGUGAGGUAAAGGCUCACCAAGCCGACGAUCUGUAGCUGGUCUGAGAGGACGACCAGCCACACUGGGACUGAGAGACGGCCCAGACUCCUACGGGAUGCAGCAGGGGGGAAUUUUGGACAAUGUGCGCAAGCCUGAUUCAGCCAUGCCGCGUGCGGGAAGAAGGCCUUCGGGUUGUAAACCGCUUUUGUCAGGGAAGAAACGGUUCUGGCUAAUACCUGGGACUCAUUACGGUACCUGAAGAAUAAGCACCGGCUAACUACGUGCCAGCAGCCGCCGUAACAC
rnacentral:rRNA from 1 species